rnacentral:rRNA from 1 species
UACGAAGGGGGCUAGCGUUGCUCGGAAUCACUGGGCGUAAAGCGCACGUAGGCGGAUUGUUAAGUCGGGGGUGAAAGCCUGUGGCUCAACCACAGAAUUGCCUUCGAUACUGUUUGGCUUGAGUAUGGCAGAGGUUGGUGGAACUGCGAGUGUAGAGGUGAAAUUCGUAGAUAUUCGCAAGAACACCAGUGGCGAAGGCGGCCAACUGGGCCAUUAUUGACGCUGAGG